rnacentral:rRNA from 1 species
ACGGGAGGCAGCAGUGGGGAAUCUUGCACAAUGGAGGAAACUCUGAUGCAGCGAUGCCGCGUGAGUGAAGAAGGCCUUUGGGUUGUAAAGCUCUUUCGUCGGGGAAGAAAAUGACUGUACCCGAAUAAGAAGGUCCGGCUAACUUCGUGCCAGCAGCCGCGGUAAUACGAAGGGACCUAGCGUAGUUCGGAAUUACUGGGCUUAAAGAGUUCGUAGGUGGUUGAAAAAGUUGGUGGUGAAAUCCCAGAGCUUAACUCUGGAACUGCCAUCAAAACUUUUCAGCUAGAGUUUGAUAGAGGAAAGCAGAAUUUCUAGUGUAGAGGUGAAAUUCGUAGAUAUUAGAAAGAAUACCAAUUGCGAAGGCAGCUUUCUGGAUCAUUACUGACACUGAGGAACGAAAGCAUGGGUAGCGAAGAGGAUUAGAUACCCUCGUAGUCCAUGCCGUAAACGAUGUGUGUUAGACGUUGGAAAUUUAUUUUCAGUGUCGCAGCGAAAGCGAUAAACACACCGCCUGGGGAGUACGACCGCAAGGUUAAAACUCAAAUGAAUUGACGGGGACCCGCACAAGUAGUGGAGCAUGUGGUUUAAUUCGAAGAUACGCGCAGAACCUUACCAACACUUGACAUGUUCGUCGCGACUUUAAGAGAUUAAAGUUUUCGGUUCGGCCGGACGAAACACAGGUGCUGCAUGGCUGUCGUCAGCUCGUGUCGUGAGAUGUUGGGUUAAGUCCCGCAACGAGCGCAACCCUCACUUUUAGUUGCCAUCAUUAAGUUGGGCACUCUGAAAGAACUGCCAGUGAUAAGCUGGAGGAAGGUGGGGAUGACGUCAAGUCCUCAUGGCCCUUACGUGUUGGGCUACACACGUGCUACAAUGGUAUCUACAACAGGAAGCAAGACGGCGACGUUAAGCAAAUCCUUAAAAGAUACCUCAGUUCGGAUUGCACUCUGCAACUCGAGUGCAUGAAGCUGGAAUUACUAGUAAUCGUGGAUCAGCGUGCCACGGUGAAUGCGUUCCCGGGU